UACGGGGGGGGCAAGCGUUGUUCGGAAUUACUGGGUGUAAAGGGUUCGUAGGCGGUGCGGCAAGUCGGGAGUGAAAUCUCUGGGCUUAACCCAGAGGCUGCUUCCGAAACUGCUGUGCUUGAGUGUGGGAGAGGCGCGUGGAAUUGCAGGUGUAGCGGUGAAAUGCGUAGAUAUCUGCAGGAACACCCGUGGCGAAAGCGGCGCGCUGGACCACUACUGACGCUGAGGAACGAAAGCUAGGGGAGCAAACAGG
rnacentral:rRNA from 1 species